CGGGAUUACUGGGGCGUAAGCGCACGCAGGCGGUCUGUUAAGUCAGAUGUGAAAUCCCCGGGCUUAACCUGGGAACUGCAUUUGAAACUGGCAGGCUUGAGUCUCGUAGAGGGGGGUAGAAUUCCAGGUGUAGCGGUGAAAUGCGUAGAGAUCUGGAGGAAUACCGGUGGCGAAGGCGGCCCCCUGGACGAAGACUGACGCUCAGGUGCGAAAGCGUGGGGAGCAAACAGGAUUAGAUACCCUGGUAGUCCACGCCGUAAACGAUGUCGACUUGGAGGUUGUGCCCUUGAGGCGUGGCUUCCGGAGCUAACGCGUUAAGUCGACCGCCUGGGGAGUACGGCCGCAAGGUUAAAACUCAAAUGAAUUGACGGGGGCCCGCACAAGCGGUGGAGCAUGUGGUUUAAUUCGAUGCAACGCGAAGAACCUUACCUGGCCUUGACAUCCAGAGAACUUAGCAGAGAUGCUUUGGUGCCUUCGGGAACUCUGAGACAGGUGCUGCAUGGCUGUCGUCAGCUCGUGUUGUGAAAUGUUGGGUUAAGUCCCGCAACGAGCGCAACCCUUAUCCUUUGUUGCCAGCGGCUCGGCCGGGGAACUCAAAGGAGACUGCCGGUGAUAAACC
rnacentral:rRNA from 1 species